GAGAAAGUCAUAGAGGUUAUGGAGUUGACUUGAAAUCAAUUUUAGGGGGUUCAAUUCCUCCCUUUCUUG
ensembl:Mt_tRNA